UAGGACUACACACACACAAAAAAAAAAGUGAAUUCUCCAAAUUCAAUGUAUUUCGCAGGUUUCAGAUUAGAUAUGGUUUUGUUAAUGUAUUGUAAGAAAAAGGGUUGGACUCAAAAGGGAAGCCACGUUGACGCCGACGUGUAAGUCUCUGGAUGCGUUGACCUUGACCAUUCAAAUGACUAUCGAGUCGGUGUCCUUCAUUCCUUGUGCUCCUCUUCCCCAACAAUGGAAUUUUAUCCACCAUAUCGAAUCGCCGGACGCCACGUGGUGCACGCUAAGUCCCAUGUAUCUGAAUCUGUUUUCUGUUUUUUCUUUGUGUUGUCUCUUCUGAAUAAAACGUUAACACAAGUUUGAUUUUGAGGAGUUC